UUGCGGUUAAAAAGCUCGUAGUUGGAUCUCGGCAAGUAGAGGGCGGUAUGCUUCGUAGCAUUACUGCCCUAUUACUUGUAGUUUUGCCAGAGGUUCCUGGGUGCUCUUAAUCGAGUGUCUAGGGAUGCUGGCAGGUUUACUUUGAAAGAAUUAGAGUGCUCAAAGCAGGCUAUUACGCUUGAAUAUUCGUGCAUGGAAUAAUAGAAUAGGAAGUUGUUUCUAUUUUGUUGGUUUUCGGAAAUCGACUUAAUGAUUAAUAGGGACAGUCGGGGGCAUUUGUAUUCAAACGACAGAGGUGAAAUUCUUGGACCGUUUGAAGACAAACUACUGCGAAAGCAUUUGCCAAGAAUGUUUUCAUUAAUCAAGAACGAAAGUUAGAGGUUCGAAGGCGAUUAGAUACCGCCCUAGUUCUAACCAUAAACGAUGCCAGCUAGCGAUCUGAGGACGUUUUUUUUGUAGACUCCUCAGGAAGCUUCCGGGAAACCAAAGCGUGUGGGUUCCGGGGGAAGUAUGGUUGCAAAGCUGAAACUUAAAGGAAUUGACGGAAGGGCACCACCAGGAGUGGAGCCUGCGGCUAAAUUUGACCCAACACGGGGAAAUCUCACCAGGCCCGGACACUGGAAGGAUUGACAGAUUGAGAGCUCUUUCUCGA
rnacentral:rRNA from 1 species